AGGUGAAAAGCACCCCGGGAGGGGAGUGAAAGAGUACCUGAAACCGUGUGCCUACAAGUAGUCGAAGCGCGUUAAUGCGUAACGGCGUACCUUUUGUAGAAUGGACCGGCGAGUUACGAUUGUAUGCAAGGUUAAGUGGAAGACACGGAGCCGUAGCGAAAGCGAGUCUGAAUAGGGCGAUUUAGUAUGCGGUCGUAGACC
rnacentral:rRNA from 1 species